AAGCAAUACGUCAGCGGCAGACGGGUGAGUAACGCGUGGGAACAUACCUUUUGGUUCGGAACAACACAGGGAAACUUGUGCUAAUACCGGAUAAGCCCUUACGGGGAAAGAUUUAUCGCCGAAAGAUUGGCCCGCGUCUGAUUAGCUAGUUGGUGAGGUAACGGCUCACCAAGGCGACGAUCAGUAGCUGGUCUGAGAGGAUGAUCAGCCACAUUGGGACUGAGACACGGCCCAAACUCCUACGGGAGGCAGCAGUGGGGAAUAUUGGACAAUGGGCGCAAGCCUGAUCCAGCCAUGCCGCGUGAGUGAUGAAGGCCCUAGGGUUGUAAAGCUCUUUUGUGCGGGAAGAUAAUGACGGUACCGCAAGAAUAAGCCCCGGCUAACUUCGUGCCAGCAGCCGCGGUAAUACGAAGGGGGCUAGCGUUGCUCGGAAUCACUGGGCGUAAAGGGUGCGUAGGCGGGUCUUUAAGUCAGGGGUGAAAUCCUGGAGCUCAACUCCAGAACUGCCUUUGAUACUGAAGAUCUUGAGUUCGGGA
rnacentral:rRNA from 1 species